rnacentral:rRNA from 1 species
GUGUCAGCAGCCGCGGUAAUACGGAGGGUGCGAGCGUUAUCCGGAAUUACUGGGUUUAAAGGGUGCGUAGGCGGCUAAGUAAGUCAGAAGUGAAAGUUUGCGGCUCAACCGUAAAAUUGCUUUUGAUACUGCUUAGCUGGAAUUAGGAUGAGGUCAGCGGAAUGUGGCAUGUAGCGGUGAAAUGCAUAGAUAUGCCAUAGAACACCAAUUGCGAAGGCAGCUGGCUAGACCUAUAUUGACGCUGAGGCACGAAAGCGUGGGGAGCGAACAGGAUUAGAUACCCUCGUAGUCC